UAUCAACAGUGCCUCAAUGUA
rnacentral:siRNA from 1 species